ACCCGCUGAACUUAAGCAUAUCAAUAAGCGGAGGAAAAGAAACCAACAGGGAUUGCCCUAGUAACGGCGAGUGAAGCGGCAACAGCUCAAAUUUGAAAUCUGGCUCUUUCAGAGUCCGAGUUGUAAUUUGCAGAGGGCGCUUUGGCGUUGGCAGCGGUCCAAGUUCUUUGGAACAGGACGUCACAGAGGGUGAGAAUCCCGUACGUGGUCGCUAUCCUUCGCCGUGUAAAGCCCCUUCGACGAGUCGAGUUGUUUGGGAAUGCAGCUCUAAAUGGGAGGUAAAUUUCUUCUAAAGCUAAAUACUGGCCAGAGACCGAUAGCGCACAAGUAGAGUGAUCGAAAGAUGAAAAGCACUUUGGAAAGAGAGUCAAAUAGCACGUGAAAUUGUUGAAAGGGAAGCGCUUGCAGCCAGACUUGCCUGUAGUUGCUUAUCCGGGUUUUUACCCGGUGCACUCUUCUAUAGGCAGGCCAGCAUCAGUUUGGGCGGUUGGAUAAAGGUCUCUGUCAUGUACCUCUCUUCGGGGAGAACUUAUAGGGGAGACGACAUGCAACCAGCCCGGACUGAGGUCCGCGCAUCUGCUAGGAUGCUGGCGUAAUGGCUGU
rnacentral:rRNA from 1 species